CUAGACCAACCAACAGCGACCAGCAGCUCCCAAAAGGCUGUAUUUCUGAGACGAUCCCUGAUAACACAGGGCACAAUCCUCAAACGGCUAGAAUCCAAUAGUUAAUCCAAAAAAAAAAAACAACAAAAAAAAACACACCAAAAACAAAAACCCUGAAUCUCGCCUACCCAUCCUUAAGAGGGCGACUUCACCUCCUCUUCAACAGACGUGGCAGCACAAAAAAAAGACAGAGCCAUGCCACCAGCUGUCAAGGGUGUAAACAGCGCCAUUUCUGCCACCAUCCCAGACAGUCUCCAGCGCCGAAGGAACCGGGCGGAAGGAACUGGGCAUCGAACCACCCCGAGCGGCAAGCGGUGUUUAUUUCUGGAGCAGAUGCUAGUGAUCUGGGCCACCCAAAGCGCGCGUGCAGGAGAGACAGCGGUCACCUGGAUCGCACCGACGGAAGUCAGUACCAAGACACAAAAUGCAACCUGUCACAGCGAGGAGCAAGGCUGGCAGCAGAACGACGUCUGCGGCAGCGAAGUCCCGGAGGGCGCCGCGCGCCGCCAGGUCUGAUCUCGGAGGGGUAAGCACCCAGAUGUAACAGGGCAGGAAGGCGUAAGGGCUUUGGGGACUGCAGUCGGACCUGUACUUCACACAGGUCAUUUACUUUACCCGAAGUGAGAUGGUGGACCAGUUAAGAGUCGCUAAAAACCAGGUGGCUUAUGGAUGGCAAUGAAGCUAGAGAUUCAAUAAAUGUUCAUUAUUCAAGCCUA